UUGGACCUACGGGAGGCAGCAGUGAGGAAUGUUGGUCAAUGGUCGGGAGACUGAGCCAGCCAAGCCGCGUGAGGGAUGAAGGUACAGAGUAUCGUAAACCUCUUUUGUCAGGGAACAAAGGCGGGGACGUGUCCCCGGAUGAGUGUACCUGAAGAAAAAGCAUCGGCUAACUCCGUGCCAGCAGCCGCGGUAAUACGGAGGAUGCGAGCGUUAUCCGGAUUUAUUGGGUUUAAAGGGUGCGCAGGCGGUCUGUUAAGUCAGCGGUCAAAGCCCGGGGCUAAACCCCGGCCCGCCGUUGAAACCGG
rnacentral:rRNA from 1 species